rnacentral:rRNA from 1 species
UGGGGAAUUUUGGACAAUGGGCGAAAGCCUGAUCCAGCAAUGCCGCGUGUGUGAAGAGGGCCUUCGGGUUGUAAAGCACUUUUGUCCGGAAAGAAAUCCUUGGCUCUAAUACAGUCGGGGGAUGACGGUACCGGAAGAAUAAGCACCGGCUAACUACGUGCCAGCAGCCGCGGUAAUACGUAGGGUGCAAGCGUUAAUCGGAAUUACUGGGCGUAAAGCGUGCGCAGGCGGUUUGCUAAGACCGAUGUGAAAUCCCCGGGCUCAACCUGGGAACUGCAUUGGUGACUGGCAGGCUAGAGUAUGGCAGAGGGGGGUAGAAUUCCACGUGUAGCAGUGAAAUGCGUAGAGAUGUGGAGGAAUACCGAUGGCGAAGGCAGCCCCCUGGGCCAAUACUGACGCUCAUGCACGAAAGCGUGGGGAGCAAACAGGAUUAGAUACCCUGGUAGUCCACGCCCUAAACGAUGUCAACUAGUUGUUGGGGAUUCAUUCCUUAGUAACGUAGCUAACGCGUGAAGUUGACCGCCUGGGGAGUACGGUCGCAAGAUUAAAACUUAAAUGAAUUGACGGGGUCAUAGCUGUUUCCU